UAUAUAUACACACACACACACACAUAUAAGCGUGCAGCUUGGAGCAAUUGGGCUGAUCGUACCUUCUGCCCUGAACAAGCCUUUUCUAGUUAUUCUAACCUUCCAUUUCAGUAAAACGCACUUCUGAAGUCAGUUUCAGGCUUUCAGCAGUGGGAUUACUGUUGUUUUCAGUCACAGCCAGCGUAACAGUUGAUGAUCACCAUCAAUGAGCUAUAGUAUUUGAUAAUAUAAAUGUUGUAGCUUGCUAGAGAGUCUAUUGUUAUGAUGGUGCCUUUGCAACCAAUGUUUGGAUGGCCAUGUAAAAAACCUCUCUUUUUUCACUGAGUGAACUCUGUAUAAGCCAAAAACCGUUUUGUGAUGGAUUCUUUUUGUCUAAUUGACUAUUAAUGAUGGCUUUACAUUAAUAUUGCCAUCUUCUAAUUCCAGCAGAGUCUGGAAAGCUGAAAAGACCUCCAAUUAUUGUAAAGGGAAGAGUCUCAUAUAAUGGAAGAACCUCUAAUUCUUGUGAAGCAGAGAGCCUCAAAUGCUAAAGAAUAAUUCAAUAGAAAACAUUGCUAGAGUUUAUUUAACACACUGAAAAGGGGAGAAGGCCAUCACAUUUGCUUGUAGUUUGUAUUUUAUUUUGAUUUUGUCCAGGUGCUAAUGUGUAUGUGCUCUUUCUUUUCAGAGGGGAAAAAUGUAAAACCAGGUUUUCAAUGGCCAAACCAGCAAGUGUGAUCUGGUUGGAAAGAUAUUGCCCUAAAAAAUGAGACAGGCUUAUUGUCGAAGAUUAUGCAAUCAUUUAGAUUUUGACUGCAGAAUGCUCCAUGUUGAUUAAUAGUGCGACCCAUUUUGCAUAUUUACUUUCUUUUGUAGUAAUUGAUUAGAGCACAACUGUAUUCUACUAUUGAUGAAAAAUCAAUCUCAUCAGCGAAAGAGCUCAUGCUUAGCUCCUUUUUAAAUUUCUUGGAUCUGUUAUGAAAAUUUUCUUGCUGGUUUCCAUAUUUUUGCAUAGGAAAGUGAAAAGACCUCAUAGUAGUUAUGAAGAAUGAUGGCUCCUUUAUCUUGUCCUUUUUAAUCUUUUCUAAUUAGGCCAUGAAUUUAAUCACUGACCCACCAUUUUUUUUCCUUGGUUACAAAUUUAGACUCAAGCAAAACACUAAUGAUGGGCAACGGAACCCAACAACAGCUGGAAUGCUCUAAGCAGUAAUAUUCCAUGUAUCUGCAAUUCUGCAUGUAUUGAUUCCAGUCCAAUCCUAGGAAUUCCUUGAUCGGUGUGGAAAAGUGGGAAUUAUGUCCACUUGAGAGGCAGACACAUGGCAAUUGAGUAAAAGGGUAAUUGUAAAAAAAAAAAAGUGUGGGGCAAUUCCAGUUCAAUGUCAAUGGAGACUAAUAACUAAACUGAAUUCUUUCAAAUUGUUGAUGAGCAUGCGAGACACACAGGCACAAUAGGUCACUUUUUGUCCUUUCUUCCAUUACUUCGGAUGGACUUGAACCUAUCUAUCAGAGAAGGGCAUAUACAAUGUCCCAUGCAGAUGCAGGCAGGCAAAUCAGUGAGUUGACAAUCAACGACAACAAAUAUAUCUUCACCAUUGAAAGAAAUCUCCAAUCCUCAAGCCAAUACAUGUUUUUACUCUUAAGGGGAUAUUUGAUACGAGAUUAAUGAAGAAUAAUUAUUACUUUUAUAACUUUUAACUUUUGUUUGAAUACUUUAAAAAAAUAGGUUAAUUUUUUAUUUUAUUAAUAUUUAUGUCUUCUCGAAAAUUAAAUGUUAACCUUG
rnacentral:misc_RNA from 1 species